rnacentral:rRNA from 1 species
CCAAUAGCGUAUAUUAAAGUUGUUGCAGUUAAAAAGCUCGUAGUUGAAUUUCGAGAUCAAAUUGUUGGUCGUGCCUCGGUACGUACUGGCAUUAUUGAUUUCUCCCUUCUGACGAUCCGCGAUGUCAUUAAUUUGGUGUCGCGGGGAAUCAGGACUGUUACUUUGAAAAAAUUAGAGUGUUUAAAGCAGGCUCACGCUGGAAUACAUUAGCAUGGAAUAAUGAAAUAGGACGUUUGAUUCUAUUUUGUUGGUUUCUAGGAUCGACGUAAUGAUUAAUAGGGAUAGUUGGGGGUAUUAGUAUUCAAUUGUCAGAGGUGAAAUUCUUGGAUUUAUUGAAGACUAACUACUGCGAAAGCAUUUGCCAAGGAUGUUUUCAUUAAUCAAGAACGAAAGUUAGGGGAUCGAAGACGAUCAGAUACCGUCGUAGUCUUAACCAUAAACUAUGCCGACUAGGGAUCGGAUGAUGUUAAUUUUUUAAUGACUCAUUCGGCGCCUUACG